CCACCCUCUCUUUGGUGUGUGAAGCCCAUGUGGGGUGUUUAAUGUUGCACGCGAACGCAGUUUCUUCCGGGCCCGGAAGGCCCACGCACGCAACAAUGUUGUGCAAGUGACUGGAAACCACCUGAGUGUCCCUCCAUGGGGGUGGGUUGCCCAGCAUGGACCUCUACUCCUGUCACAAUGAAGUCGACUGUUUCGUCGAGGGAAGUGGCCACCGUUGAUAAAAUGAAAAGACGCCAUGCAGAAUACUGUGCACAGGGUAAUCCAUUUUUUUUCUUUUUUAUUGAUCAUUCUUGGGUGUUUCUCGCAGAGGGGGAUUUGGCAGGGUCACAGGACAAUAGUGGAGGGAAGGUCAGCAGAUAAGUGAACAAAGGUCUCUGGUUUUCCUAGGCAGAGGACCCUGCAGCCUUCCGCAGUGUUUGUGUCCCUGGGUACUUGAGAUUAGGGAGUGGUGAUGACUCUUAAUGAGCAUGCUGCCUUCAAGCAUCUGUUUAACAAAGCACAUCUUGCACCACCCUUAAUCCAUUCAACCCUGAGUGGACAUAGCACAUGUUUCAGAGAGCACAGGGUUGGGGGUAAGGUCACAGAUCAACAGGAUCCCAAGGCAGAAGAAUUUUUCUUAGUACAGAACAAAAUGAAAAGUCUCCCAUGUCUACCUCUUUCUACACAGACAUGGCAACCAUCCGAUUUCUCAAUCUUUUCCCCACCUUUCCCCCCUUUCUAUUCCACAAAACCGCCAUUGUCAUCAUGGCCCGUUCUCAAUGAGCUGUUGAGUACACCUCCCAGACGGGGUGGUGGCCGGGCAGAGGGGCUCCUCACUUCCCAGUAGGGGCGGCCGGGCAGAGGCGCCCCUCACCUCCCGGACGGGGCGGCUGGCCGGGCAGGGGGCUGACCCCCCCGCCUCCCUCCCGGACAGGGCGGCUGGCUGGGCGGGGGGCUGACCUCCCCGCCUCCCUCCCGGAUGGGGCGGCUGGCCGGGUGGGGGGCUGACCCCCCCACCUCCCUCCCGGAUGGGGCGGCUGGCCGGGUGGGGGGCUGACCCCCCCACCUCCCUCCUGGACGGGGCGGCUGGCCGGGCAGAGGGGCUCCUCACGUCCCAGUAGGGGCGGCCAGGCAGAGGCGCCCCUCACCUCCCGGACGGGGCAGCUGGCCAGGCGGGGGGCUGACCCCCCCGCCUCCCUCCUGGACGGGGCGGCUGGCCGGGCGGGGGGCUGACCUCCCCGCCUCCCUCCCGGACGGGGCGGCUGGCCGGGCAGAGGGGCUCCUCUCUUCCCAGUAGGGGCGGCCGGGCAGAGGCGCCCCUCACCUCCCGGAUGUGGCGGCUGGCCGGGCCCGGGGCUGACCCCCCCACAUCCUUCCUGGACGGGGCGGCUGGCCGGGCAGAGGGGCUCCUCACUUCCCAGUAGGGGCGGCCGGGCAGAGGCGCCCCUCACCUCCCGGACGGGGUGGCUGGCCGGGCGGGGGGCUG
rnacentral:lncRNA from 1 species